GACGAACGCUGGCGGCGUGCUUAACACAUGCAAGUCGAGCGGUAAGGCCCUUUCGGGGGUACACGGGCGGCGAACGGGUGAGUAACACGUGGGUGACCUGCCCUCAGCUCUGGGAUAAGCCUGGGAAACCGGGUCUAAUACCGGAUAUGACUCCAUGACGCAUGUUGUGGGGUGGAAAGCCUUGUGCGGCUGAGGAUGGGCCCGCGGCCUAUCAGCUUGUUGGUGGGGUGAUGGCCACCAAGGCGACGACGGGUAGCCGGCCUGAGAGGGCGACCGGCCACACUGGGACUGAGACACGGCCCAGACUCCUACGGGAGGCAGCAGUGGGGAAUCUUGCGCAAUGGGCGAAAGCCUGACGCAGCGACGCCGCGUGAGGGAUGA
rnacentral:rRNA from 1 species